AGAGAGGGGGGGGCAGGCAACUGAGCUGUGGAGUGAGCAGAUUCAGCCCCACUACACCUUCUGCUAUUGCAGACAAAUACCCCCUGGGUCAUUGCUCCCACUCUUUAUGGACUCUAUAACUGAAAGUAAACUGAGCUGCUAGAGCCAUGGGGAGGGGGAAUUGGCAGGUGAGAGGUCAGACCCAAAAGAGGGAACUGUAAGGAUGCAACAAUGAACCUUCCAACAUCCCUGUCGCAAUGCAUCUCCCAAAAAUCAACACCAAGACAGAACUCACCUGGACCACUGCAGCUGCAAGGAUCAGCUCUGCCAUUCCAGCCAAACCAAGUGAUAGACCAUCAGCCACCAUAUGUUCCAAGGCCCAAAGACUUGAAGAAAACCAAGAAGCCAACUGUAAAACCAAAGGUGAAAGUGAGAGGAAGGGGACACUUGAUGGCAAGGCAGGCAAGAGGAAGAGUGUGGACACAGAGUCCCAACCGUUAAGGAGAAUCUCACUCUGGAGCUAGGAUUGACUAAAAAGGGGACUAAAAUAAUCCAGACCCCCCCAUUACCUGUCAUUAAGGGGAAAUGAAGAACUGUUUUCAUUGAGGCAGAACCUCAGCAAACAUUGUCCAAGACUAUUCUGGGGAUAGAGGGAGCCAGCAUUAUGAAAUCAAAGAAGAGUCAUCUGCUGAAGACAGUGCAAAGGCCAGUGCCCCCACUCUGCCACAGCUGAUGUACCUCUCUGUGUCAAAGACAGCGCUGCCCUCCCGGCCAAGGCUGGUGCACCCAUCCUUGCCAAAGCCAAUGCCACCCUUCCUGCCAAGGCUGGUACACCCAUCCUUGCCAAAACUAGCACCCUUCUUCCUGCCAAAGCCAGUACCACUCUCCCAGCCAAGGCUGGUGCACCUACCCCUGCCAAGGCCAUCAUCACCCUCUCUGCCAAGG